AAGAUUAUAGUUAAUUAUAACAUUUGAUCUGCAAUCAAAAAGUAUUGAACCACAAUUUUUCUUA
rnacentral:tRNA from 1 species